UAGGGAAUCUUCGGCAAUGGGGGCAACCCUGACCGAGCAACGCCGCGUGAGUGAAGAAGGUUUUCGGAUCGUAAAGCUCUGUUGUAAGAGAAGAACGUGUGUGAGAGUGGAAAGUUCACACAGUGACGGUAACUUACCAGAAAGGGACGGCUAACUACGUGCCAGCAGCCGAGGUAAUACGUAGGUCCCGAGCGUUGUCCGGAUUUAUUGGGCGUAAAGCGAGCGCAGGCGGUUUGAUAAGUCUGAAGUUAAAGGCAGUGGCUUAACCAUUGUUCGCUUUGGAAACUGUUAAACUUGAGUGCAGAAGGGGAGAGUGGAAUUCCAUGUGUAGCGGUGAAAUGCGUAGAUAUAUGGAGGAACACCGGUGGCGAAAGCGGCUCUCUGGUCUGUAACUGACGCUGAGGCUCGAAAGCGUGGGGAGCAAACAGG
rnacentral:rRNA from 1 species